GACGAACGCUGGCGGCGUGCUUAACACAUGCAAGUCGAACGGAAAGGCCCUGCUUUUGUGGGGUGCUCGAGUGGCGAACGGGUGAGUAACACGUGAGUAACCUGCCCUUGACUUUGGGAUAACUUCAGGAAACUGGGGCUAAUACCGGAUAGGAGCUCCUGCUGCAUGGUGGGGGUUGGAAAGUUUCGGCGGUUGGGGAUGGACUCGCGGCUUAUCAGCUUGUUGGGGGGGUAGUGGCUUACCAAGGCUUUGACGGGUAGCCGGCCUGAGAGGGUUACCGGCCAAAAUGGGACUGAGAUACGGCCCAGACUCCAACGGGAGGCAGCAGUGGGGAAUAUUGCACAAUGGGCGGAAGCCUGAUGCAGCAACGCCGCGUGCGGGAUGACGGCCUUCGGGUUGUAAACCGCUUUCGCCUGUGACGAAGCGUGAGUGACGGUAAUGGGUAAAGAAGCACCGGCUAACUACGUG
rnacentral:rRNA from 1 species